AGAAGUUUAGUCGAUAAUUAUUUUCAUGAGAAAUGAAAAAUCAGUAGGAAGAAUGUUUAAUAUUAGUAGUAAAAAAAGGAUAAUUCUAUUUGUAUGUAAAAAACGUCCGGAAGCAAUUACAGCUUGCUGAUGUUGCGCUUUUAAUUGUUAAAAGAUAUUGACCCCAAUAACUCGGAGAAAUUGGUAAAAUCCAUUUCAAAUUCAGACCUUACCAAAACCAAAACCCAAACCCAUCACAAAGUUUGAUAAUCUCUCUCCGGACUCCCUUGCACACUUCAUCAUGCAUUGGAGAUCUCUCGGUUGCGAAGCUACAUCUGGCAAAUCCAGAAUUCUUCAAUGCCUAGAAAAAAUAAAGGGAUAUGUCAUUCAUGUAGACAGCCAGGACACAUGUUGCCAGAUUACCUCGGAAAGAGAAGAUGCCCAAACAGUGGCCAAUGCUACAUUAAAUGGAUGGAGGUGGAAAAGCAAAGCGAUAAAAAAAGGCAUUUGUUCCAUUGUUGUACCCGCGACGUACGUUGAUUUUUUGAUUGGAAUAAAUCUCAUCCUGCUACAGUAUAUUGGUUGCAAGAUGAAGGUCAAUCAAGUGGCGUCUCCAAUGGUAGUGAAUCUGUCGAUGAUUUGUCGGGUAUGUUAAAAACGUGUGCUAAAAUAGCCGAGAAAAAAGACAUUGAGAUCUCUCUCAACAUCAUAACAAUUCAUAAGGAGAAAUGGGAUUUGGAAGAUGUUCUAUGAACUUCGAUGUAAUGGGAUAGUUAAUGAAUAUUUAAUCUUUAGUGUGAUGCCUUAAUGUUAAUGAAAAUGUACUGCAUGAAUGUUAAUGUCAAUGACAA